UUUGUAUAUUUGGAUAUUUGAACCAAUAAUUGAGAUUUUUUUUAUUACCAAGCAAACAUUUAGGGUUUGUGAUUUGUGGUUUAGGGUUUAGUAGACUUACAAUAAAGUCUACUUCACUAUAGACGGCUUUUUCAGUCUACUUUACUCGGUAUUACAAAAAAAAAUAUUUUAAAAUUAAAUUUUGUUAUUUAAGAUAAAAAUAUGUCAUUUUAUAUUUUAACUAUUAAAAUAAAGAAAUAAAUUUAAUAAAUUAUAUAUUAAAAUUAAUAAAACAAUAACUUAUUAAAGGAAUGAAGAAAAAAAUCAUAAAAAGGUUACAUAUUAUAUUUUAAAUAAUAAAGAUAAGAAAAAUAAAAUUCUAGUAGACUUAUAAAUAUGUCUACCAAACCGUAAAUAUUUUAACCUAACCAGAUUUUAACCAAAAUAAUUUAACUUAACCAAAAUUAAACCAUAAAAGUUUAACCUAACCGGAUGUAGUACCCAACAUAUAAAUACAUUUUAUUUUGUGAAAUUUGGUAAAAACACAGAACCUAGCGCCGUUGCGGCUCUCUCUUCCUUCUUCUCCCACUCGCCGUCCUCUCCGAAUCACCAUCACCACCGUCCUUGUUCAUCUCUCAGCCAUCUCCACCUCGUCACUACCGUUCCUAUACUCCUGUUCAAGAGUCUCGGGAGUGAGGACAGUGGUGAGCCGGAGAUGAGUAGCGGCGGUGAGGAGACAGAGCUUAACUUCGACUUCCAUGGAGUUCUUCCGUGUGUUCGAACUCGAGGGAUGAGAUUGAGUUGGAUUCAAAGACGCGGUGCGACGGAGGGUGGGGUCGUGUCCAUGAGCUUGAAGUGUCCUGAGUGAAUAUAGCUGCUGAACCACAUUUUCCAAAACUGUACGUUAAGGCUUGGGCAUUGAUGAAUAACUGCCACAAACCAGCUGAGGACGACAUUGAAAGUUUGAAUAUAGAGUAACCGAAGAGAUUCAAAAGGAUCGUCUCACAAACAAUACUCAUGAAGCAUGUCUCCCAAUUCAUGAAAACUGUAGGGUUUUAACAGCUCAUGGGUCAAAUACAAUCGUGUAUGUGACAGAUGUUCAUGUUGAUAUCAGUACAAUAACCGAGACACUGGGAGAUCAGCAGUAGAGUUGUCUUUAUAUCGUCUUCUAAGCAGUAGAGUUUGUUAUUUAUGAAAACUGAGUUGUCUUGUUUUACUUAAUCAGAAAAGCUCAAAAAAGAUUUGAGUAAACUAUUUUGUAUCAGAAUGAUGUAUUGUUGGUGUAACAAAUUUGUGUAGUUUGCUUCUA